rnacentral:lncRNA from 1 species
GAGGACAAAGGACCACAAAACUGUGCUAUCUGAGAUACCUGAGACUCAUUGUCCAGAAGUAAUCUCUAUGUCUCUGUGCAGUGUUAUGUGUGCCGUGGAAACACAUUAAGAAGAAGUAGUUCUGUGCAACUCCUUCUGUGGCAUUUCAUCCAAGCAGUUUAACAAGGCUAUAAAAGCAAACAACCCCCCGGUGGAAUAUACUGAGUUACUAGUCCAGGUUUUCUGCGUAUUCACAAGUCAGAAGGAGGACGCUUUCCAUAUGUGGCCUUACUGAGCUAAGGAGAUCUGGUAAGAAGCAUCAGAUGGGAUCUGUGUGGGGAAUGUAAGCUGAAUGAAGAGAUGAUACAAUAUAGAUCUGUAGAAGGUAGAAUUCUGUAUUACGGCCUUCUCCAAGUCAUCAUCAACCUACACACCUGACUUACUGUGUGGCCCAGCUCAAUGGGGUUGUCCUGACUGGGAUCAUAAGCCCGGAGUGGAAUUUCAGCCCUUCACGGCCAGCCCAGCCACAGCGAAUGGAGUGGAUGCUAACCUGUCUUUGGCCAUAAGUGGAAGCAUUCCCUGAAGGAGGGAAGGCUGCAGAUCCACGAUUCACAGAAGGAGA